rnacentral:rRNA from 1 species
UACGUAGGGUGCAAGCGUUAAUCGGAAUUACUGGGCGUAAAGCGUGCGCAGGCGGUUAUAUAAGACAGUUGUGAAAUCCCCGGGCUCAACCUGGGAACUGCAUCUGUGACUGUAUAGCUAGAGUACGGUAGAGGGGGAUGGAAUUCCGCGUGUAGCAGUGAAAUGCGUAGAUAUGCGGAGGAACACCGAUGGCGAAGGCAAUCCCCUGGACCUGUACUGACGCUCAUGCAC